rnacentral:misc_RNA from 1 species
GAGUACCGGUGCCCUCUGGGUGCCUACUCCCACCAUAUGUAAACUUAAAAACCGUUGCUUUGGCGGACCGGCCCCUGUGGCCCUCCGGCUCCGGCUGGAGAGCGUCCGCCAGAGGAUUUUCAAACCCGCUUAACGGUGGAAUCUGAGUACCUUUAAUAAAGUUAAAACUUUCAACAACGGAUCUCUUGGUUCU